rnacentral:lncRNA from 1 species
UAUGAUAUUUCAUGUCUUCAUGAAACUGGAAAAGUAAAAGCUCAUCAUUUUUCAGUAUUUGUCCUUAUUCAGACAUUAUUAUUGAGCUAUAGUCACUUAAUUUUCUAAUGGAGCACAAUCUAAGUGAAUUCAGUGUUUAAUAUAUUUUGUUUUAUUGCCAAAAAUAUCAAAUUUAUGGAAUAAAUUAAAUCAGUUUAAUUACUUAAUUUGUUUUAAGAAGAGUUUAUAAGUUUGAAUAUGGUAUUCUGUUUAAUUUAUUACACUGAAUUCUUCACUCAACAGUUAAAUCACAGUAAAAGUAGAAAUGAGAAUCAAAGGUUGAAAGAAGACUAAAUUAUCUUCACAAGAUUUUUCUCCAGUGUUUACAGAGUCCCAAAAGAGCGGAAAAUGAAGAACUAUGGCUGAAGCAAGGAGACUUUCUGAUUUCUGCUCACCUAAAGCACGGUUAUUUGAUCAAAUUGGCCAGGUACUGGUGCUAAAGAACCCACAAAGCCUUCUUUGUAUCACUGAACCAGACUUGUUCUCUCCAAGUGCUGUGAAGAUAUGUGCUAGAUUUGUGCUUCCCACCAUCAAAGUUUCAGGAAGUUCAGGACACCUGCAGCAGGCAGCAAUACAGAUGUGGAGUUCACAGAUGUGUCCUUACUCCACUUGAAAGGAACGAACCAGUAUCAACUACCAUUUUGGUCUCUUCAGCAGUCACUUCUGUUCAAAUACUCCUACUUGAAAACUGCCAGUGAUCUGAAUCAUGGCAGUACAGUCUGUGAAGAAAGAAUUUCUUUUAGGAAAUCAAAAUCACUUUGGCACUUCUGGGUCAAAAGCCAAGUGUUAUUUUCUAUUGGAAAAGUUAUUGGAAGUUCACACACUACUUGCAAUAUAAGUGUCAGAGACCUCUCACCUAGAAGCCAGAUUCACUCCACACUAACCUGAAAUUCCAAACAAUUUUAGUCUUUGUGGUAUAAACAAAACCUGUUUCUGUAUAAGGUAUGAAUAAAUUUUAAAUGUUAAAG